rnacentral:sRNA from 2 species
CCUAGAUAUAUGCUUAAUUUUCUUUCGUUGUGAAGAAAAGCGGGGGAACCACGUUUUGGGGCGAAUCACAGGCAAGCUGUGUAGGAAACCAUCUUUUCCGAGUCCGUCAGCUAACCUCGUCAGCAGGAGAUGGGUCAUGU